rnacentral:piRNA from 1 species
UAGCAAUGCUAUGCACACUGUGUGGCCUGU